CCUACGGGAGGCAGCAGUGGGGAAUAUUGGACAAUGGGCGCAAGCCUUGAUCCAGCCAUGCCGCGUGAGUGAUGAAGGUCUUAGGAUUGUAAAGCUCUUUCACCGGUGAAGAUAAUGACGGUAACCGGAGAAGAAGCCCCGGCUAACUUCGUGCCAGCAGCCGCGGUAAU
rnacentral:rRNA from 1 species